UACAGAGGAGGCAAGCGUUGUUCGGAAUCAUUGGGCUUAAAGGGCGUGUAGGCGGCGGCGCAAGCGUCGAGUGAAAUCUCACCGCUCAACGGUGAAACUGCUCGGCGAACUGCGUCGCUUGAGGUCGGUAGAGGUGCCUGGAACUCUAGGUGGAGCGGUGAAAUGCGUAGAUAUCUAGAGGAACGCCAGAGGCGAAAGCGGGGCACUGGGCCGAUUCUGACGCUGAGACGCGAAAGCGUGGGGAGCAAACAGG
rnacentral:rRNA from 1 species